ACAGAAGGACAGACACCGGGACUGCAGCCACCCAGGGACACCUUUGAGGUGAGCACCCUGUCCCCUCUGCAUUAUGUCCCUGGUGGUGAAGGAAAAGAACCAUGUGCGGUUGGUCUUCCUGGGCGCUGCCGGUGUCGGCAAGACAGCCCUUAUCCGCCGCUUCCUGAUGGACACCUUUGAGCCCAAGCACCGGCGCACGGUGGAGGAGUUGCACAGCAAGGAAUACGAGGUGAGCGGGGCCACGGUCAAGGUGGAAAUCCUGGACACCAGUGGCAGCUACUCCUUCCCAGCCAUGAGGAAGCUCUCAAUCCAGAACAGUGAUGCCUUCGCCCUGGUCUAUGCCAUAGACGAUGCCGAGUCCUUUGAGAGCAUCAAGAGCUUGCGGGAGGAGAUCCUGGAGGUGAAGGAAGACAAGUUCCCUCCUAUCGUGGUGGUUGGCAACAAGGCGGAGAGCGGCAGCAAGCGGCGGGUGCCGGUGGAGGAUGCUCUGUCGCUGGUGGAGCUGGACUGGAACAGCCGCUUUGUGGAGACGUCUGCCAAGGACAAUGAGAACGUCCUGGAGGUCUUCAGGGAGCUGCUGCAGCAAGCCAAUCUGCCCAGCCGGCUCAGCCCAGCGCUCUGCAGGAGGAGGGAGACGCUGCCCAAGGAGCAGGCGCUGAGGCCUCCCAUGAACAAGACCAACAGCUGCUCCAUGUGCUGAGCC